AAAAACAUCCCGGGAAUGCAUUCCCAAAAUCCCGGGGACACAUUCCCAAAAAAUCCAACAACCUGGGAAUGCAUUCCCAAAAUCCCAGGGACACAUUCCCAAAAUCCCAGGGACACGUUCCCAAAAUCCCGGGGACACGUUCCCAAAAUCCCAGGGACACGUUCCCAAAAAAAACAACCUGGGAAUGCGUUCCCAAAAAAAAACAAUCCUGGGGACACGUUCCCAAAAAAAACAACAUCCUGGGAAUGCGUUCCCAAAAUCCCAAAAAAAACCAUCCCAGGAACACAGUCCCAAAAUUCCAGGGACACAUUCCCAAAAAACCGUCCCGGGAACGCGGCCCCAGAAUCCCAGAAUUCCAGGGACGUGGCCCCAAAGUUUCAGGGAUGCAGCUCCAAAAUUCCGGGGUCCCAUUCCCAAAAUUCCCGGGUCCCAUUCCCAAAAUCCCAGGGACACGGCCCCAGAAUUCCAGGGUCCCAUUCCCAGAAUCCCAGAAUUCCAGGAAUUCCAGGAAUUCUCAGUUCUCCUCGGCCCCCUGCCGGGCGCGGAUGAAGCCAUUCCCAGAAUUCCAGGAACUCCAGGAAUCCCGGGAAUUCCAGGAAUCCUCAGUUCUCCUCGGCCCCCUGCCGGGCGCGGAUGAACGCCAUUCCGUGGGUCCGGAAAUGCGUUUUCAGGUUGAGCUGACUCUCGAAUCCUCUCCCGCAAACUUUGCACUCCAACUUCCCCUGCGCCGCUCCGCCUGUUCCUCCGCCUGUUCCUCCGCCUGUUCCUCCGCCUGUUCCCCCGGCUGUUCCCCCGGCUGCUCCCCCGGCGGAACCGGCGCCGCCCCCUCGGGAGGCGCUUCCCGGCUCCUCGGCGGGAUCCGAGCCCUUGCGCUUCUUGUGGGAGAUGAAGCGGUGCCGGCUGAGGGAGCCGGGGGAGGCGAAGCACAGCCCGCACUCCCGGCACUGCUGGCUGCCCGUCGCCGUGGCUGCGCCGCUUGUUCCGGUUGCGCUCGCGGUGU
rnacentral:lncRNA from 1 species